UACAGAGGUUGCAAACGUUGUUCGGAAUUACUGGGCAUAAAGCGCACGUAGGCGGUCCGUUAAGUCAUGUGUGAAAUCCCCCGGCUCAACCGGGGAAUUGCGCCUGAUACUGGCGGGCUAGAGAUCGAUAGGGGUGAGUGGAACUCCAGGUGGAGCGGUGAAAUGCGUAGAUAUCUGGAGGAACACCGGUGGCGAAAGCGGCUCACUGGAUCGAUACUGACGCUGAGGUGCGAAAGCUAGGGUAGCAAACGGG
rnacentral:rRNA from 1 species